rnacentral:lncRNA from 1 species
CUGCACUGGGCCUGCUGCUGGACUGCUUCUUUCUUCUUCUUUUUUCUGCUUCUUUCUUUCUUUUUUUCUGCUGCUUCUUUUUCUAUUUUGUUUUUUUUUUGGGCUGGCCUACUACUGCUGGGCCUGUUGGGUCGGGUCGCAGGUUGAAUCCGGGUUGGGUCGACCCGAUAUAUUAUUUUUUAUUUUUCUUUCCUUUUUUUUCUUCUUUCUUCUCUGUUUCUUCUUUCUUUCUUCUUUUCUUUUUUCUUUCUUCUCCGUU